AUGGCCCUCCGCGGCUGGUCGCACUUCGCGCCGGAUCUCCUCGUGACCGUCUCCGGCGACCUCACGGAGCUCGCGGACAUCGCCCGCUUCCGCUCCGUCUGCACCACCUGGCGCGACGCGGGGGUGGAUGCCGCGGCCGCGCCUCCGUCGCAGCCCCCGUGGCUCGUCCUCCCGUCCUCCCCGUCGCCGCUCUUCUUCAACCCCUCGGAGGACCGCCUCUACCGCAACAUCCGUCUGUCCGUCCCCGCCGCGGACGCCCACCGACGCCGCCGCCGCCGCCGCCUCUCGGCGUCCCCGCACGGCUGGAUCCUCGCCGUCGACCCCACCGAUCUCGCCGCGUCCCUCCUCCACCCCUUCACCGGCUCCGUUCGCCCCCUCCCGCCGCUCCCCGCCUUCUUCGCGGAGACGGAUGACCUGGCCUGGGACCUGUCCCCGCACAGCCUCAUGGCGUCCUGCGGCGAGGUCGUCCUGGUCUGCGCCCUCGACCCUCUCGCUGACUCCUGGGCCCCGGUCCCCGCCAUGCCCGACUGCAACGUGAGCAGCAUCAACUACGCCGGCGGCGAUUUCUUCGUGUUCGAGGAGGACGCGUGCCGCACCACCAUCGUCGACUCCAUCACCCUCGCGGUCACGGCCGUCAUCCCCCCGCCGCCCCAAGUCGACCUCCCCACCGAGGCGCGCGUCGUGGUGGCUGGUGAGGAGCUCUUCCUUCUCGUCAAGUCCAAAUGGAUGUACGUCUUUAGUGACGACGUGGACUUCUCCAAGGCCUUCUGCGUGAACCACCGGAGCACCAGCCCAGCCUGGCAGGAGCUCACCAGCAUCGGCGAGCGGGCGCUGUUUGUUGAUCCUCUCCACGGGUUCGCUGUGGGGACGGCAGGGUUCACGAAUCUUGAAAGCAACACAGUCUACUCGGUGACCACCAAGGAGGCGAGCCGUUCCAGCAGUGUGAAAUACAGUGUAUCGGCUUUCAACCUGCAGAGCCGGACCUCUAAGAAGCUUGCGUGCCGGCUGAACGAGCUUGACACAGCUCAGCGUGGCGGGGCGGCGGCAUCGUGGAUCAUACCAAGUGUGAAUGAAGGCUGA
rnacentral:rRNA from 1 species